CAGACCCUCUCUCUCUCUCUCUCUCUCUCUCUCUCAUAUGGAGCUCUCGGUGACUCCUCCGUCUUCCCUCCAUAUUCCGGCCAUCAACCCUCUACGCAGCUCCGCCUCGUCUCGCCGUCGUGAUGGGCGCGGCGGCAAGCCGACGUGCCAAUGCUCCACCGUUCUCCAAUUCAAGUUCUCGCAGAGUUCGCCGUCGCUCGGCGCGUCCAGUCCGAAAAGCCGGUCGAGACCUGCCCCGAGAAGAUCCGAUGGGAGGAACCUUAUCCAGGCCUGUGCUCGAGUUGGAGCAGCUGGAUCUGAUCCUAUAGUGAGUAAAGUCUCUGAGUUUAAAGAUGCAUGUUGGAGAUUUUAAGACCUCAUACAAUAAGAGGGAACAUCUCUAGGCUCCUUUUUACUUGAACUUAUUCUUGCUCAUCAACGGUUCAUGGGUGGCUAGAGCUCUGAUUGAGAACUCGCACCUGAUAAAGUGGUCCCUUCUGCUUAAAGCAUUCUCUGGUCUUUUUGCUCUAAUAUGUGGGAAUGGAUAUAUUGUUGGCAUCAAUCAGAUAUACGAUAUUGGCAUUGACAAGUACGUGGUGCUUGCUUGAACAUUGUUUUAUUAAAAUAUAUCUGGCUAGAUGGGUGUUGGUUACAGCAUCACUAUUACUAGCAUGAGAAGAACUGAAAAGUUACAAGAUAUUGGAACUGAGAAACAGAGCAAAAUUACUUCCAGCCUCAACAUAGAUGUUUGAAGUGAGAAAGAAUGAAUGUGUUCAUAAUGAAUAAUGAGACAAUGCGGCAUCCCAAUUUUUACUGGACAUCAGAUUUAGGUCAGUGUUUGAGGUACCGUGCAAGCACUCACUGUUAUUUUGGAGGUCCAUCUUUUUAAUUAACCUUCUUGUCAUGCCUUUGCUUUUGAGGAUCAAUGUCCUCAACUUCCUCUCCAGUUUUAUGAUUAGUAUCUUUUUUUAUCUUAUUUCAGGGUCAACAAACCUUACUUGCCUAUAGCAGCAGGAGAUCUUUCUAUUCAACAUGCCUGGCUUUUGGUGAUUUUUUUUGCAGUGACUGGCCUGUCGAUUGUUGCUUCGAACUUUGGAUCAUUCAUCACUUCUCUUUACAGUCUGGGUCUUUUUCUUGGAAUCAUCUACUCUGUUCCUCCUUUUAGGAUGAAGAGAUUUCCUGUCGCAGCAUUUCUUAUUAUUGCCACAGUAUAUUUUCUGACUUUUUUUUUUCCGUAGAAUUGAGUAGUUUAAAUUUACUUCAUCUUUUUGUGCCUUGCUGGAGGACUAUGUUCGACUCUUUUUUGGGGGAUAUUGUACUUGUAUUGGCAACCUAACUAAUAAAGUAUUGGUAUAUGACCUUUAAGGCUAUGACGGAUACUUCAUCGCAAUAUCUUAGAAAAAGAAUUGUCAAAACGUUUGGCAAGUCCUAAACUGUCCAGAGACUCCACACUUAUGAUGCUGCAUGUAAAAUGCAAAAUAGUGUAUUCUUUUAUAAAU